CCUAGAGUCUCCUCAUUCCCCCCUCGGGUUUCUCUCCCUUUUCUUCUCUAAAACAUCAGAUCAGCGGAGGCAAUGCUCAUGAGUCAUUGAUUCUCUGUUUUUCUCUCACUCAAUCUCAAAGAUGGAGCCCUAACCCCCGUGGAGGUGAUGUUCUCCUCCCUCGGGUUCACUGCCUCUGGCUCACUUCCCAACCAUCGACACCGUGGCCUCCCUUCCGACGCUCCACGGAGCUUGUUUUCCCGUUCUUUGAUACCAAUUCGGAAGGCCUGCUGUUCUAUGGUCAUAGCGUCACUGGAAAGAAGCCCCGAGGCGUCUUGGAUCUCCACUCCGGGGAAUGCCAGCGAUGGAUAUGGCUGUUGGGCUGUUCGGAAGGCCCAAAUAGUGAUCGCAAGGAUCAUCUGAAGCUUGUGCUUGCUAUUGUUGGAACUUCGGUGGCGAUUCUCUUGCCUGUGCUCACAUAUCGAUCAACAUCGAGAAAAGAUUGGCUUGGCUUUGAAGAAGUUGUUUGAAGAUGGGGUAGUGAAGUGUAAGGAUUUAUUUAUCACUUCAAAACUUUGAUUUGCCAGUUUGCAGAGUUGAAUCUAGAUGCUUUGUUCCUCCAAGUGAACUAUGAAGAGCAUAAGUCAAUGUGUUAUAGUUUGAAUGUCUAUGUUCUCCCCUACUUUAGGUUCUACAGGAGAGCUCAUGGCCGACUUUGUAGUUUCAGCUGCACCAAUGCAACUAUAAGAAUUAAGAAGUUCAAGGAUGCAUUGCCCAAGCACAACACAGAAGAUAACUUGUUUUGUAUUAACUUCAAAAUUGUUUUGUAUUAACUAGUUUUCUCCUUAAAUUCUUAUGUUAUUGAAUGUUUUUUGUCAA